AAAUAGGUAAGCUAAAUUAAGCUUUUGGGCUCAUACCCCAACUAUAGUAUUUGAUACUCCUAUUUA
rnacentral:tRNA from 1 species